GGCCUCAGAGAAAAUAAGCAACUUUAAAAUACAAAUUAUUAAAACUAAUCCACAAUUAUGUAUUAAUUCUCAAUUCUUGAACAACUAUUACUGGUAUAGCGUGCGUGUGUGAACAACAUCUAAGAUAACCGAUACAGACCCAAAUUCAAUACAUAAACAACUUCUUAGAAGGAAUCAUACAGUGCAAACUCAAAAAUCUCAAAGAUAGGCACGAUUCAACUAAAAUUAAACUCAACCAAAUUCAAGGGAACAUGCAGGAUACUAAUACUUUCUUUUCUUCCUUCUCUUUUUUUCCUUUUUUUUUACAUGAGGGCUUUUUGCUCUUUUCCCAUUUUAUUCUUAUCUCUCUUUUUUUUCUAAAUAUAUAAAAAAUGACUGUGCAAUGUCUCAUCCCAUUAGGCUAACAGUGUUACCCCUUAGCGAGCUUUUGACUAACGACUCCCAGACCAUAGAAGACCUUAGGGCGCUAGGUGUAAAGACAAUCCCCUCGGGCGUACUUGCUCAAGUAACAGAGGCCCCGAAACAAGACUAGCCACCAUGUAUACCCUAUGUAUUUUAUUUUUUUUAAGCUUAUAUACCCCACAUUUAUUCCCCCAAACUUAGGUUCUUCCCUAAUUUAAGCCUUCAUUGCCUAUCCUUGUCAUUUUUUGGUUCACCCUAGCAUUAUCCUUUAGAAACAUUUUAUGUAUCGAUUUGAACUGACCGGUCAACAAAGAUGUUAUUAGUGCUACCCUUUUUAUAACAGUAUCAAACAAGUCCAAGAUUCGAUUCAUAACAGUAAUUAUAUCACAGUUCUAAUAAUCCAUACUAUAUUGGUUAACUUGUUCACAAUCUC
rnacentral:lncRNA from 1 species